rnacentral:rRNA from 1 species
CCUACGGGAGGCAGCAGUGGGGAAUAUUGCACAAUGGGCGGAAGCCUGAUGCAGCGACGCCGCGUGAGGGAUAAAGGCCUUCGGGUUGUAAACCUCUUUCAGCAGGGACGAAGCGUGAGUGACGGUACCUGCAGAAGAAGCACCGGCUAACUACGUGCCAGCAGCCGCGGUAAUACGUAGGGUGCGAGCGUUGUCCGGAAUUACUGGGCGUAAAGAGUUCGUAGGCGGUUUGUCGCGUCGUUUGUGAAAACCCGGGGCUCAACUUCGGGCUUGCAGGCGAUACGGGCAGACUUGAGUGUUUCAGGGGAGACUGGAAUUCCUGGUGUAGCGGUGAAAUGCGCAGAUAUCAGGAGGAACACCGGUGGCGAAGGCGGGUCUCUGGGAAACAACUGACGCUGAGGAACGAAAGCGUGGGUAGCAAACAGGAUUAGAUACCCUGGUAGUCCACGCCGUAAACGGUGGGCGCUAGGUGUGGGUUCCUUCCACGGGAUCUGUGCCGUAGCUAACGCAUUAAGCGCCCCGCCUGGGGAGUACGGCCGCAAGGCUAAAACUUAAGGAAUUGACGGCUGAGACNGCGAGACGACACGAGGAGAG